CAAAAACCGAGGUAUGGAAAAAACCCUAGUCUCUCCUUCUUCUUUAACAUACACAAGAACAAACCUAACACCCUAAGAACCAGCCACACACACAGUCAUAGCCCCACCUCUCAACCACCACCCCUAAGAACUAGCAGAACUCCUCUAACAGCUUCCUCCCAAGUUAAAACCAGAAAAUCCCAGCCGUUGAAACACCCAACCGGCACCAUAGAACUCACACAAAAAUGCCAAGAUAAAUCCAGCAAUUAAUAUAAUUUCUAUCAAGUGUUUUAGUCAAAGUCUCAAUUCUUGGCUUAUGUCCAAACUUGCAUGAAGUUAAAAGUUCUUUAAUAACAAUUUUGAUUAUUUUAUUUAGUAAUGAAAUGGUAUUUUUUGUGUGGUAUACUGGUGCACAGAAGGUGGGAUAUAGGUCCUUAUAAGUUAGUCUUUGCAAUAUUAAUGGUUUUCAAGGUAAGAAUCCUUAAAGGUGUAUUGAGGCCGUUGAAUUUAAAACUCCGAGAUCUGCUCGAGGUCAGAGUCUGAGGUUCCGCUCGAGAUACGCGGUCCCGGUGUAAAUUUGAAGUGCUAUUAUCGGAUUGCACAAUAUUGUCUCUUGCAAGGGGAUCUUUCAUCAAUUCAAUUUUGAUCACCGUUUGGGUUCCACUUGAGGUAUGGAUCAAUUUGCUAGAGUUUGAGCAUGACAAAUAUCCUAGGACCAUUCUAGUCAAGGCCAUUGCAUGCACGAGUUGCUUGAGGAAACUUUUUAUUUUUUUAGUCUAUUUUAUGUUGUCUUUUAAUUAUUAGUCUUGUACAGUAGUAUCGAGUUUGUCAGUCUAGUUAAGAUUUUUGAGUCUUUUGUUAUAGUACUUCCUAUUUUGUAUUUGAAAAACCAAAAAAGAUUAUUAAAUGAAAAUUCCAAAAAGAUUUUUUGUU